AACGAACGCUGGCGGCAGGCCUAACACAUGCAAGUCGAGCGAAGCCUUCGGGCUUAGCGGCGGACGGGUGAGUAACGCGUGGGAACGUGCCCUUUGGUACGGAAUAGCCCCGGGAAACUGGGAGUAAUACCGUAUGUGGUCGAGAGACGAAAGAUUUAUCGCCAAAGGAUCGGCCCGCGUUGGAUUAGGUAGUUGGUGGGGUAAUGGCCUACCAAGCCGACGAUCCAUAGCUGGUUUGAGAGGAUGAUCAGCCACACUGGGACUGAGACACGGCCCAGACUCCGACGGGAGGCAGCAGUGGGGAAUCUUAGACAAUGGGGGAAACCCUGAUCUAGCCAUGCCGCGUGAUCGAUGAAGGCCUUAGGGUUGUAAAGAUCUUUCAGUGGGGAAGAUAAUGACUGUACCCACAGAAGAAGCCCCGGCUAACUCCGUGCCAGCCGCCGCCGUAA
rnacentral:rRNA from 1 species